UACGGGGGGGGGCAAGCGUUGUUCGGAAUUACUGGGCGUAAAGGGCUCGUAGGUGGCCAACUAAGUCAGACGUGAAAUCCCUCGGCUUAACCGGGGGAACUGCGUCUGAUACUGGAUGGCUUGAGUUCGGGAGAGGGAUGCGGAAUUCCAGGUGUAGCGGUGAAAUGCGUAGAUAUCUGGAGGAACACCGGUGGCGAAGGCGGCAUCCUGGACCGACACUGACGCUGAGGAGCGAAAGCCAGGGGAGCAAACGGG
rnacentral:rRNA from 1 species